rnacentral:rRNA from 1 species
GACGAACGCUGGCGGCGUGCCUUACACAUGCAAGUCGAACGGCAGCACGGGGCAACCUGGUGGCGAGUGGCGAACGGGUGAGUAAUGCAUCGGAACGUACCUUUCAGUGGGGGAUAACGUAGCGAAAGUUACGCUAAUACCGCAUAUUCUGCGAGCAGGAAAGCAGGGGAUCGCAAGACCUUGCGCUGAUUGAGCGGCCGAUGUCAGAUUAGCUAGUUGGUGAGGUAAGGGCUCACCAAGGCGACGAUCUGUAGCGGGUCUGAGAGGAUGAUCGGCCACACUGGAACGGAGCAACGGUCCAGACUGCUACGGGAGGCAGCAGUGGGGAAUUUUGGACAAUGGGGGCAACCCUGAUCCAGCCAUGCCGCGUGAGUGAAGAAGGCCUUCGGGUUGUAAAGCUCUUUCGGCCGGGAAGAAAUCGCACGGGCUAAUACCCUGUGUGGAUGACGGUACCGGAAUAAGAAGCACCGGCUAACUACGUGCCAGCCGCCGCCGUAACAC